UACGGAGGGGGCUAGCGUUGUUCGGAAUCAUUGGGCGUAAAGCGCGCGUAGGCGGCCCUGUAAGUCCGUUGUGAAAGUCAAAGGCUCAACCUUGGAACUGCCUUUGAUACUGGGGAUCUCGAGUCCGGAAGAGGUUGGUGGAACUGCGAGUGUAGAGGUGAAAUUCGUAGAUAUUCGCAAGAACACCAGUGGCGAAGGCGGCCAACUGGUCCGGUACUGACGCUGAGGUGCGAAAGCGUGGGGAGCAAACAGG
rnacentral:rRNA from 1 species